GGCGGAAGUUGGCCCCUGGUCAGCCGGGAGAUUCAAAGCGUGAGAGCACAAGAGCUGAAGAGGCAGAACCGGAGAGUCUUCUGUGCGGUGAGGAUCGCUUGUUUGUACAUUCAUUCCUACAAGAGCUUCUGAGCACAGGAUCGAUUUCCCACAUGUCUGACCUAUUGAGGGCCACCUCAAGUUCUUAUAACUGGAACAAAUGAUUUCCACUUCUUAAUGAAAUUGCAAAGAGCCAGAGAAUAUAUAGCGUUGUUCCUAGCAGGCCGCCCCUCCCCCCCGUCUUCUGAUCCUGGCUGAUGUCGCGGAGACUUGUCUCUGGAUCACUUGCUUAGUGGGCCCACCUCUGAUCCGCCUUGUCGGGGCUCCGGACCUCUGUGCGGCACGGGCCCUUUAUGAACUAUGAGGCUGAAGUUUGA